UGAUAGAGGCUAAACUAUCUCCGGACCCCCAAUAUCUAGUAUGCGCCGUCAUGGGCAUAGUAGCCGUUUGCAUGAAGUUGGUUUAAGUGUCGCAAGUGGUAACUUUCUUGCAGCCAAGCGAGGAGGAGUUAUUGAAGGUGUUGAUUUUGGGGCAAUGGGUGAAGUAAAGAAAGUGGAUGUUUCUCGUAUUCGUGAGAGGCUUGAUGGUGGAUGUAUAGUUGUAUUAAGCAACCUAGGCUAUUCCAGCUUUGGAGAAGUUCUGAAUUGCAAGUAUGGAUUAUUGAUUUU